CCUACGGGGGGCUGCAGUGGGGAAUAUUGGACAAUGGGCGAAAGCCUGAUCCAGCCAUGCCGCGUGUGUGAAGAAGGCCUUCGGGUUGUAAAGCACUUUCAGUGGGGAAGAAAGCCUUGGGGCUAAUACCCUCGAGGAAGGACAUCACCCACAGAAGAAGCACCGGCUAACUCCGUGCCAGCAGCCGCGGUAAUACGGAGGGUGCGAGCGUUAAUCGGAAUUACUGGCGUAAAGCGCGCGUAGGCGGUCUGAUAAGCCGGUUGUGAAAGCCCCGGGCUCAACCUGGGAACGGCAUCCGGAACUGUCAGGCUAGAGUGCAGGAGAGGAAGGUAGAAUUCCCGGUGUAGCGGUGAAAUGCGUAGAGAUCGGGAGGAAUACCAGUGGCGAAGGCGGCCUUCUGGACUGACACUGACGCUGAGGUGCGAAAGCGUGGGUAGCAAACAGGAUUAGAUACCCCUGUAGUC
rnacentral:rRNA from 1 species